GCUAUCCUACGGGGCGCAGCAGUAGGGAAUCUUCCACAAUGGACGAAAGUCUGAUGGAGCAACGCCGCGUGAGUGAAGAAGGGUUUCGGCUCGUAAAGCUCUGUUGGUAGUGAAGAAAGAUAGAGGUAGUAGCUGGCCUUUAUUUGACGGUAAUUACUUAGAAAGUCACGGCUAACUACGUGCCAGCAGCCGCGGUAAUACGUAGGUGGCAAGCGGUGUCCGGAUUUAUUGGGCGUAAAGC
rnacentral:rRNA from 1 species